GACGAGCGCUGGCGGCGUGCUUAACACAUGCAAGUCGAACGGAAAGGCCCAGCUUGCUGGGUACUCGAGUGGCGAACGGGUGAGUAACACGUGGGUGAUCUGCCCUGGACUCUGGGAUAAGCCUGGGAAACUGGGUCUAAUACCGGAUAUGACCUUACAUCGCAUGGUGUUUGGUGGAAAGCUUUUGCGGUUCAGGAUGGGCCCGCGGCCUAUCAGCUUGUUGGUGGGGUAAUGGCCUACCAAGGCGACGACGGGUAGCCGACCUGAGAGGGUGAUCGGCCACACUGGGACUGAGACACGGCCCAGACUCCUACGGGAGGCAGCAGUGGGGAAUAUUGCACAAUGGGCGCAAGCCUGAUGCAGCGACGCCGCGUGAGGGAUGACGGCCUUCGGGUUGUAAACCUCUUUCACCAGGGACGAAGCGUGAGUGACGGUACCUGGAGAAGAAGCACCGGCCAACUACGUG
rnacentral:rRNA from 1 species